rnacentral:rRNA from 14 species
AUGCGUAUAAAGAUCGAUUGUAUGCGUCAUUC